GACGAACGCUGGCGGCGUGCUUAACACAUGCAAGUCGAACGGAAAGGCCCUGCUUUUGUUGGGUGCUCGAGUGGCGAACGGGUGAGUAACACGUGAGUAACCUGCCCUUGACUUUGGGAUAACUUCAGGAAACUGGGGCUAAUACCGGAUAGGAGCUCUUGCUGCAUGGUGGGGGUUGGAAAGUUUCGGCGGUUGGGGAUGGACUCGCGGCUUAUCAGCUUGUUUGUGGGGUAGUGGCUUACCAAGGCUUUGGCGGGUAGCCGGCCUGAGAGGGUGACCGGCCACAUGGGGACUGAGAUACGGGCCAGACUCCUACGGGCGGCAACAGUGGAGAAUAUUGCACAAUGGGCGGAAGCCUGAUGCAGCAACGCAGCGUGCGGGAUAACGGCCUACGGGUUGUAAACCGCUUUCGCCUGUGACGAAGCGUGAUUGACGGUAAUGGGUAAAGAAGCACCGGCUAACUACGUG
rnacentral:rRNA from 1 species